rnacentral:rRNA from 1 species
GUAACAACUCACCUGCCGAAGCAACUAGCCCUGAAAAUGGAUGGCGCUCUAGCGUCGUGCCUAUACCGGGCCGUCAACGGCAAAGUGGGCUGGUGACCGGCCGGUUAACGCCGGCCGUCUCGGCCGUUAAGCCUUGACGAGUAGGAGGCGCGCGGCGGUGUGCGCAGAAGGGUCUGGGCGCGAGCCUGCCUGGAGCCGCCGUCGGUGCAGAUCUUGGUGGUAGUAGCAAAUACUCUAGCGAGGGCCUGGAGGGCUGAUGUGGAGAAGGGUUUCUUGUGAACAGCCGUUGCACAAGAGUCAGUCGACCCUAAGCCCUAGGAGAAAUCCGAUGUUGAUGGGCAGCGAUCACUCGGCCGGGUCCGUUGUCUGUGUCGGUCGCGCGCGCAAUCUCAGUGUUGCGUUGUGCGCUAACACGCACGGCCUACCGUCGACUGCUCCCGUCGGGCGAAAGGGAAUCCGGUUCCUAUUCCGGAACCCGGCUGCGGAACCGUCACUUCGCGGGCACUCGCCUGCGAGCGCUCGUCGGGGUAACCCAAAAUGACCCGGAGACGCCGGCGGGAGGUCUGGAAAGAGUUGUCUUUUCUUUAUAAGCGUUCGAGUUCCCUGGAAUCCUAUAGCAGGGAGAUAGGGUUUGGAACGCGAAGAGCACCGCAGUUGCGGCGGUGUCCGGACCUUCCCCCCGGACCUUGAAAAUCCGGGUGAGGGCUACGCGGAAAUGUCGCGCCGGCUCGUACCCAUAUCCGCAGCAGGUCUCCAAGGUUAAGAGCCUCUAGUCGAUAGAAUAAUGUAGGUAAGGGAAGUCGGCAAAUU